GACGAACGCUGGCGGCGUGCUUAACACAUGCAAGUCGAGCGGAGCGGCGAACGGGUGAGUAACGCGUGAGUAACUGCCCCCCUCUCUGGGAUCACCGUUGGAAACGGCUGCUAAUACCGGAUAGUGGGGGAUGACUCGCGUCCUAUCCGCUUGUUGGUGGGGUAGUGGCCUACCAAGGCGACGACGGGGAGCCGGCCUGAGAGGGCGACCGUCCACAUUGGGCUGAGAUACGGCCAAAACUCUGACGGGAGGCAGCAGUGGGGAAGAUUGCACAAGGGGGGAAACCCGGAUGCAGGAACGCCGCGUGCGGGAUGACGGCCUUCGGGUUGUAAACCGCUUUCAGCCAGGACGCGGGAGUGGCAGAAGAAGCACCGGCUAACUACGGGCCAGCAGCCGCGGUAAUAC
rnacentral:rRNA from 1 species